GUGUCAGCAGCCGCGGUAACACGUAGGGCGCAAGCGUUGUCCGGAAUUAUUGGGCGUAAAGAGCUCGUAGGCGGUCUGUUGCGUCCGCUGUGAAAACUCGGGGCUUAACCCCGAGCCUGCAGUGGAUACGGGCAGACUAGAGGUAGGUAGGGGAGAAUGGAAUUCCCGGUGUAGCGGUGAAAUGCGCAGAUAUCGGGAGGAACACCGGUGGCGAAGGCGGUUCUCUGGGCCUUACCUGACGCUGAGGAGCGAAAGCGUGGGGAGCGAACAGGAUUAGAAACCCGCGUAGUCC
rnacentral:rRNA from 1 species